rnacentral:lncRNA from 1 species
CAGGUGGCAGUGCCGCGCUCGGAAGCGGCGCUCCUUGGACUGAGCGUCUCUGUCACUCCCCUGAGAAGAUGCGCCUGGCCGCCCUCUGGCCUCAGCUCAAGGAGUCACCCGGAAAGGCCACCAGAGCUUCACAAGGCCCUCCCGAGACAGGAGACAGGUGUGGCAAAGCUGGCGUGACCUAUACAUUACAAGAUCCUGGAACACAUGCACAGAACAGUUCCCAAAGCCCUGCAUGUGGAAGUCUCCUGAGAAUUCGAGCAGGUUUUCAGUAAGAUGCCUAGACCUGACGUCUGCCUGAUGCAUGGGAUCCCAGCACUGCCUCUCAGGACGGCGUGUAAAGGUUACCAAGAGUUUCCUUGAGAUCUGGACAUCAUAAAAGGACAGCCAUGCCAUGAAGAGCUCGCUGUUGUGGCUUGCCCCAUGAUAUCCUGCCUGUGCCCUCCAAAGUGUACUGUUUUUUGUUGUUGUUUUGGUUUGGUUUUUGGUUUUUUUGUACCAGGGAUCGAACUCUGGACUUUGCUCUUGCAAGGCAAGUGGCAAAACCAGUGAGCUAAAUCCCCAGCCCCAGGGUGUACUUUUUUAUUUUGAGUUUUCCUAUUUUACUAGGCCCAAGCUGGCUCUGCAUAGCCAGUUUCUUCCUCACUUUUCCAAAUAAAACUGUCACUAUUUUUUUUUUUUUUUUUUGCUCAUUUUGUUCAGUUCUUUGUUGAAGGUUAGAUGAACCUGGAAUCCAACUCCAGGAGGAGAUGCAAGCACUUCAAAACCUGGUAACAUUUAUCUGGUGAGCCACUUUUAGAAGGAGCUACGAGGAAACUUUGGGCAUAGCCAGGCAGGAGACUAGGAAAGGCCCAGUGGGUGUACUUUUUGUUUUGCUCUAAAUUGUGAAGGUUUUGUUGUUGUUGUUUUCCUUUUUCUUUCCCUGGUUUUGUAUCCUAGACUGGGAAUUCAUAGAACUCUUCUAAUGGCAUGCAGAGAAAUGUUUGCUGUUUUAUCAGCCACUGGGGAUGAGGAGGAAGGCAAUGAGACAGGUUUUGUUUUUCUUCCAGCUGCAACA